UACGAAGGGUGCAAACGUUGCUCGGAAUCAUUGGGCGUAAAGGGCUCGUAGGCGGCCAACUAAGUCAGACGUGAAAUCCCUCGGCUUAACCGGGGAACUGCGUCUGAUACUGGAUGGCUUGAAUCCGGGAGAGGGAUGCGGAAUUCCAGGUGUAGCGGUGAAAUGCGUAGAUAUCUGGAGGAACACCGGUGGCGAAGGCGGCAUCCUGGACCGGCAUUGACGCUGAGGAGCGAAAGCCAGGGGAGCAAACGGG
rnacentral:rRNA from 1 species